rnacentral:rRNA from 1 species
GAUGAACGCUGGCGGCGUGCCUAAUACAUGCAAGUCGAGCGAACAGACGAGGAGCUUGCUCCUCUGACGUUAGCGGCGGACGGGUGAGUAACACGUGGAUAACCUACCUAUAAGACUGGGAUAACUUCGGGAAACCGGAGCUAAUACCGGAUAAUAUAUUGAACCGCAUGGUUCAAUAGUGAAAGACGGUUUUGCUGUCACUUAUAGAUGGAUCCGCGCCGCAUUAGCUAGUUGGUAAGGUAACGGCUUACCAAGGCAACGAUGCGUAGCCGACCUGAGAGGGUGAUCGGCCACACUGGAACUGAGACACGGUCCAGACUCCGACGGGAGGCAGCAGUAGGGAAUCUUCCGCAAAGGGCGAAAGCCUGACGUAGCAACGCCGCGUGAGUGAUGAAGGUCUUCGGAUCGUAAAACUCUGUUAUUAGGGAAGAACAAAUGUGUAAGUAACUAUGCACGUCUUGACGGUACCUAAUCAGAAGGCCACGGCUAGCUACGUG